ACUAACUGCUCUUCAAACGUGAUGGAGCCAAUCUCUACCUCCUUCCAUAAUCGAUACAUCUUUCCUUAAUCGAUACAUAGAUAAUAAAUUAGGGUUGAUAGAAACAGCGAAUUAUUCACAACAAUUGAAGCAUCCAAUGUCUCAGCUGAUUUCAUCAUCAAUUUCAAAAAAAAAUAUUCAUGGCUAGUUUCGCAAUUCUUAUUCAACACAAAGGUGAGCGGGAGACUAACAAAAGAUAUGUCAAUUAUGUGGCUGAUGCAGUUGUUAUUGAUUCUAUUUCGAUUUUGAAGAUUUAAUUGCUAUUGUUUCAAAACAAAUUGGCAUGGAUACCAAAGUAGAUCUGGUGGAAAUCAAAUACAUUCUAAGUGAUCAAUGUCCAGCAUUGUUAAUACAUAAUAGCAUGAGUGUUUGUGUGUAUAUUCAAUUGAAAACAAAAAAUUCAGAAAUCUCUGCCUAUCCACUUAUCGUAACAGUGAAAGAACCAUCUAUAAAUCAAAGGUACAACAAUGUUGUUUCUGUUGCUAGUAGUAUACAUGAUAUAUACAAUCCAAAUACAAUUCAAAUGAUCAAGUGUGAGAGCAUAGAGUACAAUGAAGGUAUCAAAGAGCAUGUAGGUGACAAUAUUGAAAAUUGUUUUCACCUGGAAGUUGAGAAGGGUCAGCUUUACAUAAACAAGGAUACCAUUGCCAAAGUAAUGAAGCGCUACUCUAUCCGCAAACAGUUUCAAUUCAAGGUGAAAAAAUCAAGUGCGUCAAGGUACUGCCUUAUAUGUGUCGAUGAAAAUUGCUCGUGGUGUUUCAAAUCAUCAAGCUUACACAAUGCUAAUAUAUUCAAGGUUUGAACAUUCAAUGAAGUUCAUUCGUGCAACAUGCUGUAAUUAUACAUAAACUAGUGUCAAGCUAGUUUGACUGUUGUUGCAAGUAUUAAUGAACAAAUUUGGUGAUCCGAAGAUAGUUUAUACACCUAAGGAUAUAAUAAAUGACAUGCAAAAGGAUUACUCCGGUGAGCUAACCUAUAUGCAGGCAUGAAAAGCAAAAGAAAAUGCAUUGGAACUAAUAAGAGGGAACCCUAUGGAGUCAUAUAGUAAGCUGCCAAAGUACUUGUAUCUGCUAGCACAUACAAAUUCGAGAUCUGUUAUAAGGUUGCACAAAUCGGAGGAUGGACACUUCCUUUAUUGUUAUGUUUCACUCAAUGCAUCUAUAAAAGGAUGGGAAUAUUUCAGACCUUUAGUGGUUGUCGACGGGAGCUUUCUUAAAGCAACAUUCAGAGGGACAAUACUUAUUGCUUCAACAUAUGAUGUGAAUGGUCAUAUUUUUCCCCUUGCAUUGCAUUAGUGGAUUAAGAGAAUGACGCAUCUUGGACGUGGUUCUUCUAACAAAUCAAGGAUACUUAUGGGGUUCGAGAAGGAAUGUGCAUAGUGUCUGAUAGGCAUGACAACAUCCUAAAUGCCACUACAGUUGUUUAUCCAACAAUGGCACAUUGUUUUUGCAUCUACCUCCUGUGGAAGAACAUCAAAACGAAUUUCAAGAAAAGCCAAGAGAGGCUUAAAGAU